CCCAGCAUUAGUCAGCUGUUCAGGCAUUUUCAGUGCCUGUAACGGUGUUAUACUGCUGGGACAGUGACCUGCCGCGGUCUGGCUCUAGAUGGCGCUGUUGUAGCGUCUUUCAGAGUUCAGCUGGAGGCAGGAGAGCCCUCUGAGCUAGGACUGAGUCUGCUUCGCUGUGGCUCAGCCCUUGACAGGAGGCCUCACAGA
ensembl:snoRNA SNORA74 Small nucleolar RNA SNORA74